UUAAACCCAGAUGAGCCGGGAGUUGGGGCAUACGGAAAAGAUUUCCAAUUAAAGCCGAGAGGAGCAGGGCGCAGCCAGGCUCCGCGGCGCAGGUGUAAACAAUAUUUGGGCAGCUCUCGCUCCGCUUCCCGGAGCGGCUCCUUGCCCUCGCUGGGAGGAGAAGGGAAGGGGCUUUUUGCUCGCCCCCUGGAGCCGCCGGCCGGGGUCCCGCUCGCCCCUGCCCCGGCGCCGCGGAGCUGCCGCGGUCGAUGCGCGCCUGGGCGCCUCGGUGCCUGCAGCACCCCCCCGGGUGCCGCCGGCAGCCCCCUACCCCCGAAGCGCCCCCCUCCUCCGCUCACCUGUUGCUGCAGCCGCUGCUUUAAUGGCAUGGACUUAGAGGAAAACUCAAAUGCUGCGGGCUCGGGAAGCGCCGGAGGAAAAUUAUUACGGUGACACGGGGCAAGGAGAAAACCCCCCGGGGAGAGCGGGCAUCGCUUCCGAGCUCCUAGAGGGAGGAGGCAGCCCUAAACUUCGAAGCUCGCCGAGGAAUAACGCGGUGAAAGCAGGGAACCGCGGAGCAGAGGGUAGAGAGUGGAAAGACGGAGCCUUGCGAAGCUGCUACGCUAAAAGCACCCAUCGUCACCCCGUGCGCUGUAGGUGUGCGAGCUCUGAUAUUUCAGGGGACAGAAGAAGGGAGCAAACACCCUGCCAAAAGCUUGUCUCGUCCCGCAUCGCCCCCCCUUCCAGGCAGGCAGUAGCACCCUCUAAUUCCCAAGCCCAAAAAUCCCAAAUCCAAGCUGCCAGCAAGGAGAAAAGGAACAAAUCGCUGCCCGGCCCGGCAGGAGCAGAAAAGCAGCACCCGCCCCCCCCCUUUGCCCCAGACAGGUGCCCUCAGGUGCAAUCCCCCCCGGCCAGAAAUCCGCAACUCCCCCGCAGACAAGCGCUAAGGACAGUAGCCGGGCUCGAGCAGAGAAGAGAGCCUGUUUGCUUCUUUAUUAGUGUUGAGUCUACUCUAAUUACGAGAAAAAAAAAUCGCUGCUUUCGGUCUGAAACGACGUGUUGUCUUGUGCUUGUAAAAUACAUUUCAAGUAACUCUUGUCUGUCUAUAAAAUACAGUGGGGGGAAUAUAAAUAAACCGCUGUCCAUUUGUUUAAUGCUAUUUUAGCCAAAUUGACUGGCCGGAUUGGAAUUCGACAUAAAAGCUUUAGUUUGCAAAACAUCCGCACUGUAACGUCUGGGAGACAGGGCUUGCGCUCCAGCGCGACGGGCACGUUAACUGCAUUAAAACCUCGCCAUACAUUUUCGA